UUUAACAUUUUAUACAUUUAGGGGGCAUCAAUAGGGCACGUUUAUUACGUUUAAUACAUCUUAGGGGCAUUUAGAGGGCACUUUGUCUGCUUUGUUACAUUUCAGGGGCAUUUAGAGGGCACUUUUUAUGCAUUUUAGAGCUGGAGUUGCCACCGUCCUAUUUUCUGUCGUUGUUUAACCAAAUGAUUAAGAAACAACGAAAAAAACACGAUAAAAUUAAUUAUUAAUUCCCUUUUUUCCGGAGUGGACUGAAUUUCUGCCGUUUUAAAAUGGCCGACUAAUAAUGGCAGUUAUUUGAAGCUAACCGUUAGUCUAAAGCUGUUGUUGAGAGCGAGCCCACCUGAAGGAGAAGCUAACAUUAGCUAUGACACAAGCGUUGUGUGAAGGGGGCAUGGGAGACUCAAACCUGGCAACCCUGCAGGCAAAGUCUCCCUCGGCACUGUAGCUGCUGCCUCAUGCAUCUUUUAAAGAUGAGGAGGGAGGCUCCACUUUCUCACGCCAUGUAUGACGAGGAGGGAGAGAACACGAGACGGAGGAAACAGUAGGAACAAACAUGCUAAACCCACACACUGUGCUGCAGUAUGCUUCCAGAAAACUUCGCCACUUUCUCCUUUCUUCUGUGUCGUGAGGUAUUUCCCAAAACCCUGCCUCCUCUUCCUCUGCAUUUCGUGACGCUCUCGGUGAAUCUCAUCAGGGUAAUUAUUCGCACACAGGCAUCCGAAGCACGAGCAUCUGCCUCUCCUUCUGUUGACCUCCCCCUGCCUCCCCCUCAUUUUUUUUCUUUUUCCAUACUCUCUCCUCUCCUCUCAAACACACCUUUGCCUUCUUUCCUAAUCCCUUAUUGUCUUUUUUUUUCACGUAUCCUUCCUCUCUUCUCCUUAUGCUCAGCUCAUUCUGGUUAAGUAGAGCAUCUCUCCAAUUUAUUAGCCACUUCACAGCCGUUGCAAAUUGCAAACAUAUUUUGCUUACAUUCAAAAGGGAUGAGCAGAAAUAGAGGGUGACAGGGGGAGAAGAACAGAUUUGAUGCAGAAUAUAUAACAGGAGAGGCCUUUUAGGAAUAAGACAAAGCAGAUAAUUUGCACAUAUGCAAUGUGUCAUGAAAAACACUCCUCCUCCUCUAAAUAGAUGUGGUUAUUUAUGGUGGUUUUAAAAGGGCAUCAUAAACUGAAUGUAUCUUAUUCCUGAGUGAAUGCCUGCAAAAGUGGAGUUAUGAGGUCUACAGCAAAACCGAUGUCCACCACAGUCAAACUCUGUAAAUGUGCUUUUAAACGACUUAAUGGACUCGCUGCUGCAGCAGAGGUGAGUAGACCGACACUACAGGAUCAAAAUACUUUCUAUAAAGCAUAUGGUCAACAGAUGCUGACCUUGUGUUCUCACAUUGGAGAUGAUAGAUGCUUCUGUGUAGGUAGGACCAGCACAUUACCGACAGGAGGCUCUGCCAGGAAUCCAAGAGACUUAUUUAAAGGUGAAGCAAAUCCUCAAUGUGAAUGAGAAGUCUCGCAAAAGGUGGAAAAAACAACACAUUUUGACUCCAUGUAAACCUGAUUAAGGUAAAGCACAGAGGUGAUCCAGGAGAGACAUCAACCUAACAGGCUGGCAACAUUAAAACAAGGAUUUCCUGAUUUAAAACGUCAAAUGCAUCACUCCAAGAAUGGACACCCAGAGCAGCAAUGCUUAAACUCCAAAAUACAGCAGCUGAUUUUGAAAUCUGAAAUAUCCCAGGUGCCAGAAAUAUUUUAUAACCUAGCUCUUAUAACUUGAGACUAAAAUAAGUUUAAGUUUAUAUCAUUUGUAUUGCACCUUAAAAGCAAAACACAUUCUGCACUGCAGUGCUUCACAAGAACAGUCAUAGGCUAUGUACAGCCAGCAUAAAAACAGACAAUGUACAGUUCAGAGUAAACAAUAUGGAAAAUAAUACAAGAUUAAAAUAGGAACACUUUUAAUAGGGUAAACAUAAUAAAAAGUAAUGGUAUAAAAGUAGGUUUUAAGGUGUUUCUUAAAAGCCUCAACAGAGUUUGCCUGUCUCUGCCUGCUACAGAGAAAGCCCUAUCCCUGGUCUUUGUCUUCCUUACUUCAUAUACUUUAAACAAAAUAGAACACUACAUAAGAUUAAACAUACACAUCCAACAAGCUGCUUAAUUAGUGCGAUUAUAAGAUUUAAAACUGCAGCGCCAUUUUUAUUUUGUAUUCAUUUGCCAUGCUAGCAGCAGCGUGGCUUUAGGGAUAGCAUUCUGUUAGUUAGGUCACAUUUUUGCUCAAAAUAGAAAAAUCACAACAGCUAAAGUAGAAGAUUGGAUGUCAAUCUUCCUCUGGUGUUACAAUAAGUGUGUCUCUUUUUGACUGAGGUACCUCAAUACGCCAUAAAUGACUCUCAGUUUGAGUGUUAAGUCAUGAGCAAACGUCAGCAAAUACAUGGACACCACAAAUAAUCAAUGACUUACAUUAUAAUAACUUUAAAUUAUCCCUCUAAUAAAAGGUUCAGAAACCCACUUCAGUACGUCACGCUUUUGGAAAAUGUCCACAUCCAUAGUCGGGAAUAUGACCCCCUUUAAGAACACAUGACUACAAACCAUUUGAAUGCUGCAAACAAACCGAAUAUCUAAGUACUGGCUGUACUUUGUGUUGAAUGCAAAGUGGAGGAUAUUAGCAUAACAUGCUAAUAUACGAUGAAAAGGACUUUAGCUAAGAGCACCGCCGUACCUCAGUGGAACGGUGAGGCUUCUGCAGGCACAGCCGACGGAUCUCAGCCCUGUUGUUAUUGUGUUUUUCUCACUUAACCCCCUUUCUUCAUACACAUCUUCAAAGCCAUAUAACAGCCGCACAUUUCAGGCUUGUUGUGAAGCAUCACUGUCUUCACCUUCCCCACUUGCUAUAUGUCCUUGUUACACCCAUUGCAUCUGUUGGCACAUUUCUCUGGCACAUGCUGCGCUAUAAAUAGAAAAAACGGCAUCUGCAAUGAAUUUGUUCCUCUGUAAUGUUGCUUUGGAACAACUGCAACACCCUAUACAGAAGGCUUGGAUGUUCAGUAGCUUACACUAAGCUCAGAUACUAAACAUUAAAUGAUAGAAAUUAUUAAUUAAUUAAGAAGAGAGAAAUUAGUGGGAGGUUUGUACGUUUAUAACCUUGAGUUUGGUCCAAAAAUCCAAAAGUACAAGACAUCUGAAGGGAAAGUUUAAAUUGUAAGCGUGAGUUCAAGGAAACUGUACCGUCUUUGAUUUGGUUCGAACCGCGACCCUGUUAUCUGCAGACUUUCAGCCAGAUGCAUCCCUCAUAAACGUCUUUAGACGAUCAUUGAAAUCUUAAUAACAAUUAAACCAGUUUGCAUUCCCAGGAACUCCCUCUGUUUCAACAGCUGUGUAAACUCCACAAACACUGACACGUUCAGCUGAAGAUCUCCAGUUUACAGGGUCACUUUUAAAAUCAUAACACCGGGAGAGACGCAUUCACAGUGUGCUGAGAGAAGACUACUGUUACAAGCUGCUAAAUCAAGAGAAUCACAGCUUCUUCUUUUGAAAAGUACACACACAUAC